rnacentral:rRNA from 1 species
GACGAACGCUGGCGGCGUGCUUAACACAUGCAAGUCGAACGGAAAGGCCCUGCUUUUGUGGGGUGCUCGAGUGGCGAACGGGUGAGUAACACGUGAGUAACCUGCCCUUGACUUUGGGAUAACUUCAGGAAACUGGGGCUAAUACCGGAUAGGAGCUCCUGCUGCAUGGUGGGGGUUGGAAAGUUUCGGCGGUUGGGGAUGGACUCGCGGCUUAUCAGCUUGUUGGUGGGGUAGUGGCUUACCAAGGCUUUGACGGGUAGCCGGCCUGAGAGGGUGACCGGGCCCCAUGGGAAUGGGGUACCGGCCAGGCUCCCUACGGGGGGAAGCGGUGGGAAAUAUUGCCAAUGGGCGGAAGCCUGAUGCAGCAACGCCGCGUGCGGGAUGACGGCCUUCGGGUUGUAAACCGCUUUCGCCUGUGACGAAGCGUGAGUGACGGUAAUGGGUAAAGAAGCACCGGCUAACUACGUG